UGGGUAACCUGCCCAAGAGACUGGGAUAACACCUGGAAACAGAUGCUAAUACCGGAUAACAACACUAGACGCAUGUCUAGNGUUUAAAAGAUGGUUCUGCUAUCACUCUUGGAUGGACCUGCGGUGCAUUAGCUAGUUGGUAAGGUAACGGCUUACCAAGGCAAUGAUGCAUAGCCGAGUUGAGAGACUGAUCGGCCACAUUGGGACUGAGACACGGCCCAAACUCCUACGGGAGGCAGCAG
rnacentral:rRNA from 1 species